UACGUAGGGUGCAAGCGUUGUCCGGAAUUAUUGGGCGUAAAGAGCUUGUAGGCGGUUUGUCGCGUCUGCUGUGAAAUUUCGGGGCUCAACCCCGAACUUGCAGUGGGUACGGGCAGACUAGAGUGUGGUAGGGGAGACUGGAAUUCCUGGUGUAGCGGUGAAAUGCGCAGAUAUCAGGAGGAACACCGAUGGCGAAGGCAGGUCUCUGGGCCGAUAACUGACGCUGAGAAGCGAAAGCGUGGGGAGCGAACAGG
rnacentral:rRNA from 1 species